GGACAUUGCAUAACAGUAAUUUUUCAAGGUUAAAACUGCAGUCCAUGGCUGGUUUCUGAUAACUAGUCCUUCUGGAUCACAACCCAUGCUAUGGUUUAAAAACCAAACCUGUGAAUAAAGCAAUGUCUAUUGCAACAGGUAACUACAGAAAUGCAAGAGUGAAGUCUAAACGCACCUGUGUGUGCUGGUUUGCAUGCCAAG